CCUCUGUCUCCUCUGUUUCCUCUGUUAUUGUGCACGAGCCUCGUUGGAACCUUGUGUAACGUCGUGAUUGGCUCACGGACACGUUGUGGGCGGGGACAGUGGGCGUGGCCUCGCGCUUCGUUACGUCACGAUCAGCUGUUCUGAGCUUGUACGCUGUGAUCCGCGGAUCAGCUGGGCGAAGCAAUAACAGCCAGGACAAAAACAAGACAAAUAUAUAAAUGCAGCAAAAACGGGAUUAAAAAACAACAACAAGAGAAGAACACAAGGAUAAAGACUGCACAUUUAGCUGUCGUGUAGUUUAAAAGUUUCUUCUAAGAAGAAAGCCUUUUUAUUAAUCUUAUUAUUAUUAUUUUCAUGUGAAUAUAAUCCUGGUGCAUUAACACUACCUCAUAGAAACGCUCCUGAAUCCGGGCUUUAAGGCUUUUGUCGUGUUUCUUACUGUUUCGUCCACACGUUUACACGUUUUUUCGGUGCUUCAGCAAAGGCAGCCUCCGGAAGGCGGAGCUAACUGCGCCAAUGACGUCAACACUUUGCGCCGUCCCACAAAGCCCCGCCCACACGGACGCUUUUGGCUGAAUCCCAAAUGGCUGCCUGUGCCAAGCUAUUUGGAUUGAUGUAAUACAGUAUUGCUGGUGAAAAAUGCCUUUAUUUUAAGGACAAAAAUAGACUUUACAUUCACAGGAGAGAAUAUUAGUUAAAAAAAAAGUACAAGAUUACAGAACUACAAAACCACCAACAAAACAACAACGACAAUUUAGACAUCAUAAUGUUUUCCAUUUGUAUUUUGAUUACAUGUUUAGAUUCUUCCUGACUGAGUGUCUUCUUUUUCGAUAUAAAUUUGCCAUAAUAUUUUUCCACAUGCAUGUAUUUCUAUUUUUAUUUGUAUAUAUUAUUUGGGGUUUUUUUGUGUUUUUUUUUUUUUUGUAUUGUCUAUAGCACAAAAAAAAAUCCUUUGUGAUCGAUAACCAUUAUGUAAUCUUGUCUUAAAAAUACAAAAUGUAACCGUUUUAUUACCAUUUUAGGAAAUAAAAUCAGUAAACUUUCUCUCACAUACCAACUAACCUUUCACCCUUCAUUAAUAAAUGCUUGAUUUUCUUUUCUAUACAGUUAAACCUCAGCUAUAGUGAUGUCAAAGCAAAAUAAAACAAGUACAUGUUAUAUAAGGUGUGGAUUUAUUAAUUCCAACCACAUGUAGUGCACCAUAUUUUUUUUUUAUUAUUAUUAUUUAAAGGGAUUUGGGAUUUUGCUUCCUAAUUCCUAGGGUUGAAAAUAUUGUGGACAACAUGUGUAGUGCACUGUAUGUCUAAUAGGGUAUGAUUUGUGAUUCAGCUUCCUAACCCAUAUAUAAAGUGAACAAAGGAUAAGGGCAUGGGGUUUUCAAGCUUUUUUUUUCAGUCAGGGACUUUUAACUUUAAAAGAAGAUAAAUAAAAGAAGAAGAAGCAAAAAAAAAAAAAAACAUGCAUAGAUCCUCUGAGGACCAGUGUUGAGUAAAUUACUCAAAAAAAGUAGUCCACAACAGAUGACUUAUUACUACUUGUAAAAUUGUUAUCUGAUUGCAUUACCGAUUACUGCAAUGUAAAAAGUCAUCAGAUUACCCAUUUCUUUACUUUCAUGUUAUUUUCAAAACCUCUCAAACCUACAAAUAUACACUACAAAGUGAAACUUGUAGUUCUUUCAGUAAUUUUAGCGUGCCUCAAUGUGUGACAUGAUCAGAAAAAGUCAGAUUUAUCAUAAAACUUGCCUCGGGUGAUGUCGCUGUGUGUUUGAUUACCAGAGCAGUAAAAUAUAAGACUUGUAUAACUAGGCUAGUUUGGUGUCGCUAGCCAAGUGGAGGCACAGCUAAGUUAUCACUGUAUGGGUUUAGCUGCUUCAGUGCCAUGCAAAGUACAUUAUCUUUCCUUCUGCCCUGCUCAUAUCAUGUUCACGUAAACUGGAACUCAUAUAGACAUUUCCACACCUUGUUUUCCAUGGGCAUAGGGUAAUUCCAACCAUAUGUAGUACACUGUAUGUCUAAUGGGUUGAAAUUCACUCCAUAUAAAUAUAUACAGUGUAUUGUGCACAGAGUUUCCAGUACAAUUGGUGUACUGAGAUCGUAACUAAUAAACUAGAAACUGUCCAACAGGGAGCCGUUUUGGAUUUAGCUCCCUCCUGGCCAUAUAAGUGCACUAUGUAGGGUACAAAAUAAUAGUUAAAUUCUACGUAGUGUACAGUUUGUCCAUUAGGGAGCAUUCUGUGUAAGUGCACUGUGCAGGGUAAUAUAACAGUUUCUACAUGUGUAGUGGUUUAAUAACUAAUAAACUAGAAUCUAUAAUGUAUGGAAAUAGAAACAGGGAGCCAUGCCGGAUUCAUUAUGUAGUGCUCACUACAUAAGUGCACUACUUAGGGUUUAAGCAAAAUGAUGUAGUUUAGAGUAUAAAUGCUGCGUGAGCUAUUGAGAGCGAUUGCGUAGAGAUUAAAACGAAGAACAGCCAACAAAACCAAUUCCAACCACACAUGGACAUUUUUUACUAAAUGAGCCUAGGUGGAAUUUUUAGGGGCGGGGCUUUGGGUUUGGUGUGGUCAGUUAAUUAGAUCUAUGACAUGCUUUGUUUUAACAAUUGCGGUGUCCAUAAAUUUUCUAUAACAGCAGCGUAGCUGUUUAAAAACAUGUAUAAUUAUCGAUAUGGUGCAUUUUUCUGUGAGGAAGCGUUUACAUAACGUUUACGGAAGGAGUCUCCAGCGUCAGCGCUUUGUAACGGUCGGAGGUAAAGCUGUAAGUUUUCCGACAUCUUCAGGACAGAGGAGUUUAUACUUCUAUGCGGUUUCUCGGUAACUUGAUAAGCUGCAGAGGUGGUUUAUUAUUAUUUUUGUCUUAAUAAGUACAAGAGAAAAAAAAGAGAGGAUAGAAUAGGAUAUUCUUUCAUAAAUAGACAAAUGUACUUGUUGGUAUUUUGCUACAAUAUAAGAGGAAUAAAACACUUCGGGACAUGCUGUUAUAGGAAAAUAAUUCACUUUGGUGUGGUAACAGUAACGCCGCUUCAUCACACUACUCCAAUGUUGCUUAUUUUCCUAUAACAGCACAACAUGACGUUUUUAUUCCUCUUAGCCAAAAUUGUUCCUUUAAGGGUUCUUCAAAAGUUUUUCAGAACCUUUAUGGGUUCUGACCAAAGAUCCAUUAUUGGUUCUAGAUUUGUGUGUACAGCUGCAUUAGCGUAAAUGAGUCAUUGCUGUCACGCAGAAGCCAUUCUUUCUGUCCUCAUGUGUCCUUCUAGCCUUUAAUCAGGAAGUAGCAUUCUCCACCCUCUGUGUUAUCUCUCUUCUUGUCUUGCAAAUGUGCUUAAUUAGGUCCGUGCUUCCUUUGCACAUUCAUUUCCUAAACAUUUUAACAUAGCUUAUUAAAUACAGCCUGAUCAAUUCGAAUACACGGAUUAAAUUAACUUAAAUCCGAAGCCCCGUCAGGUGUCAGACGUUCAGAGAUAAGGCACAAACACAGAGCGAGUGCACUGACGUGCUGAUGCAAAUUUGGCAGGGCGAGGCUGGAAUUUGUGUGUGGUUUGAAAAAUAUUUACAUCUACUGAUUUGGUAGAUGCUUUUGUAACUGAGCAGCUGAGGGCCAAAAGCGUUCCUCAAGGGCCUGAGUGCAGAACCUGACAUGUUUAUGUGCUUUCCUGCUAAAUUAUUUAUAAUGUUUAUUCAAUUAGCUUGAUUUAGCUCCACCACCUGGACUAUCUGAGUCACUUCCACUCAGGAAACGUCUCCUGACUGUCUGGUUUCUUUUUCCACAGGUAACCUGGAUGGUUUAUUAAUUGUUUUUCAUAUAUUCAUUGAACAUUAUAGGAAAAACGCCUGCUCUAUUCACCUUGCAUCUGGACUAUUUUUUUUUUUUUUUGGUCACAACAGCCAAAACGAGAUCAAACCAUUUGCAGAUUAUUUGCAGCGGAUUGUUUUGUUUCGGUUGUUAAUAUUUAAUAUUUUUAAACAGAGUAUUGGAAAUAUCUCCCAUAAUAAAGGGCAGGAAAGGCUGAUGAUUGACAAGGAACAGUGAAUGAGAGUCACCCAAGAGUCACAAAAUUCAUAUUGGUGCCAUUGUGCAAAAUAAUGCUUGAAUAUAACUGUAACUUCACUUAAUUAAACGUUAGGUACAUUACAAAUCUAAGGAAGCAAAUCUGAGACACUGAAAAAGUCUUGGUUGAUGUAGUUUUCGAUCGAAUUCCACCUGUUUAUCUCAAAUUAUCAUUAUUAUAUAUCAUUAUUAUCAAAUGAGACCAACAACCUUUAAGGCAGAAUGUUUCUCUGGCACGUGAAACCAGAUUAGCUAGAAAAUCUAUCCAAUAAAACUCAAAGCUGGAAGAUGUUUGUUUUCAUGUUUUAUCAUUUUUCAGCUGCAUUAAAGAGCAUCAAAAGAAAAUAGAUGAGCUGUUAUGUGGAAAACAUUCCUGGCUCGUCUCAAAUGCCAGACGACCAUGGGCUAAUCCGUUUGUUUUGUACCUGAACAUUACACCCAUUGGACAUUUCGGUUCUUAUGUCCGCCAUGUUAAUGCUGUGUCAAGUUUGUUCAUGACCAUUUUUUACUUCACCAAAUUUACUAAAACAUACUAAUGAAUUUUACACAGUUUAUGUUAAAUACACUAUUAAGUCUAAGAAUAUUUGAGAAGAAGUAUAUUAGCGUACUUUUCAUAUGGUAGCAUUUGUAUAUAUGACACCUGAAGACAAGUACGCUAGGUGAGAAACGUACAUGGUAAGGUGUAACUUGUCAAUGACAUGUAGCUAUGAAUGCAUAAAGCAUGAUAUUCUGUAAUGAAUAAGAUCUGUAUGAAUAAAUUGCUGUGGUAUAAGAGGAAAAAACUCUGAUGGACGUGCUGUUAAAGGGAAAUAAUCACA
ensembl:lncRNA